GGGGCUGUAAACCUCUUUUCUCAAGAGAAGAAGACCUGACGGUACUUGAGGAAUAGAGCCACGGYUUAUUCCGUGCGCAGCAGCCGCGGUAAUACGGGAGUGGCAAGCGUUACUCCGGAAUUAUUGGGCGUAAAGCGUCCGCAGUGCGGCCGUUUAAGUCGUUGUUAAAUCGUGGAGCUCAACAUCCAUCACGGCAAUGGAAACUGUUCGGCUUGAGUAUGAGUAGGGGCACAGGGAAUUUCCGGUGUAGCGGUGAACAUGCGUACAU
rnacentral:rRNA from 1 species